CUCUGGCCGGAUCUGCCUGCUCCGUCCGUCGGAAAACGCCGCCCGUAGCCCUUCUCUCUCGCCCGCUCACUCCGGUGCCGGUCGUCCUUGUCCCUGUCCCUCCGCUAGAGCAGGGUAAAAAACAAGGUGAAAUAACAAUCUUUAUGCGUUUAUCUGCUGUGUGUGUAGUGGGCUUACGCCUCUCUGUCCCAACGAUAUAUUCCACAAAUUUUUCAUCUUUCGAUUUGGGUUUUCAACAAGUUUGCAGGUACAAGAUGCCUGUUUGCAGCUUGGACAGAGUUCAUUGGAACUGCUACUGCUUCUCCACCAGUUCCAGUAGAUGUUGCCAGGCAGGUUCCAGUAGAUGUUGCGGGCAUAUGGUCAAAACACUGGGAACUUUGUUCAUUAUGCAUUUGAUUUUAUAGCUUUUAGAUUCUGAAUUAAUUGAAAACAAUGGCAGAAGGCAAAGAUUACUGUGAGCGUAAAUUCAACUUGCUGAGAUCUAACUUUGAUCAACUUGUUGAGGAUGCUUGUCUAUGAGUAUGUAAGCAAUGGGAAUUUGGAGCAGUGGCUUCAUGGGGAUGUAAGGCCUUGCAGCCCUCCUACUUGGGAGAUUCGGAUGAAUAUCAUCCUUGGAACAGCAAA